GAGUGCUGGGACCCAAACUCUAAUCCUCUACUAAAGCUGCACGCUAUCUCCAGCAGCAAAUGGCCUCUUCCUCCUCCUCUUCUUCCUCCAUUUUUCGUAGGAAGGUUAGGGGUAGGAUUAUAUAUGAGGACAUUUGAGGGAUUUUAUGAAAUGCGCUGUAUUGUUUUGUUUUUGUUAUGUUCCUCAGACAACUUUAUGGGGCAAAUCAUCAAAGCAAAUCAAACCUUUCCCCAGUUUCAUCUCAGGAUUAAGUCCUGAUAACUUUGUGACUCAACCCUGUUUUUUUAAUGAUGUGCUAAUUAUAAUUAUUUUCAUAGCACUUAACCUUAAUGUAUGUCAUCUGGCUUAAUAGAUUUUUCUUAAAGUACUCAGCAUGAAAGAUAGUAUUUAGUAAAUUCCAAAUAAAUGUGCAUUUCCUCAGUACCAGUAAUUCUGUGGGGCAGAUAGUCACUUGCUUUUUAUAAAGACAUAUGUGUCUUUAUAAAGUCAAUAUGACUGAUCUAAAUCCAGGCUUUUCUAAGUCCAAAUUUGACAACCCUCCUGUAGUAACUACUUCAAUGUAUGGGCAGAGUGUGGGCAAUUAGUAUGUGCUGAGAGCUGCUCAGAUUUCAGUUUAGGCAGCCAAAGGAAUACCAGACCUCUUCAGUCCUUAAACAAAAUGUUUAAGAAGACUACUAAGAGGCCUCCUACAUGUCAGUUAUGUAGCAAAGAGAGGAGGCUUCUGCUUUCUGACACAUCUUAUGCCUCGGAAGGUCCGAGUGUUGCAGUGGCUUUCUAAAAAGCCCUGCCUCCUUCUGGCAGUCAGACCCGAGGAAGGAAACUGUUCUGCAGAAUCUUAGGAGUUUUUCAUCAUUCUCAGCCUCUACUUGGUUUUCUGGAUUGGGAAUUGCUUCAUGAGCCAGGAAUUAUUCAGAAGUUCAGCUCAGAUGUGUCUUUUCCUAGGGAGAUGAAAGUCAAAACCCCCAUUUGGUUUCCCUCCCUAAAAUGUAAACUGAUAGCAAGCGCCUGACCAUUCUGCUGUGGUUUUCACACAUUGCUCUUUGUUGUAGCUUUAAUAUUUACUCAUUUGUUUUUCUUCUAUUUCCUCCAUCUAGGAGCCCAAAGAUCAGACUGGGUUCUAUCUAUCAGACCUGCCCAUCUCACGCUGAGAAGCCGCUGAAUAUUUGUUAAGAGUAUGGGUUAUGUUUCAUUAAGAGAUUUUCAAAUUGAAACUAUUAAGAUGGGGACUCUAAAUCAGUAGUACCAACCCAUCUUGAGAACAUGCUAGAAACAGAAACUACCUUCUUAAGUUAUGUGAAUCUGGGACUCUGGUAUAGCCCAACAAUAAGUAUUUUUAACUAGCUUUCCAGGUAGUCUCUGUACAUUCCUCAAGUUGCUUCCAUACAGGGACAGGCAUAAAAAUCUGAUUUCUUAUGGAGAAGCGAAAACUUGGAGGAAUAUGUAUUUAGAAUAAAGUUGUAUACUAAAGAAAAAGGCAUUUGGCCAGCCAGGAGUGGGCUCUAUCCUGCUAUAACUAAGGAAGCCACGUAACAAUUGUGAGCCUGUGCCUCAUGCGGUCAGUUACCCCGUUCUUCCAUUGAGUUAAAGAGGGAAAUAGUGUAUAUAUAAGCCCUGAGAAUGGUUCAGCUCAACACUUCACCUCUAUAUGCCUAAUAAAUAACCUAUUAGGUUUAACCUAAAGAACAAAAAUUUCUGCUGCUUGGAAAUGUGGUGGGUGGAGCCUGACUACACCCUGCACUGAUCUACCUGAAAAUCUGGCCUUUGCUCCCUCUCAAAGGAACGUCCAGGGUUGACUUUACCAGGGUGGUGUUGGAAACUCUUUCAAGUCUCCUAUGUAUGUAUUUAUUUAUUGUUUUUGAUUUUUCUUUUUUGAGACAGGGUUUCUCUGUGUAGUUCUGGCUGUCCUGGUCAAGUUUCCUUUAAAGAAAGCUUAAAUGUGCACACAGACUGUAAGAAUCCCGUGUUGUUCUGACUUCAGGGGUUUAGAUGUUUAACUGUCUGUGGUGGAAACUGGUAUGGUUAACAACAGCUCUACAGACAGGUAAGGGUAUCUUCCCAGCCUUAAGUCUGCUGUGCUAGAAUUCUACUUGCAUAGAUUAGCAGCCCAGACAGUGAAAAAGCCAGGAGUUUUCAGAUUCUGAUACUCCCCUCUCAUCUCCCCAACAACUUUAUAACUAAGAUCCAGCUAUGAAAAAGUAAAAAUUAAAAAACGGUGAAAAACCUCAGAUAAGGGCAUGUUUCUAAUGCUGAAUGAUUAGUUUAAUUAAAGAUUUGACAGUAUUAAGCCAUUUAAUGAGUACUCAGAACUUGCUACUUGAAAGCUUUGUAGUUUGGUCAGUAUGGCAUACUUUAAAUAAAAGCAAGAAGGAUCCUAAUUUUUAAAUAAAAGUCAAGUAAAGUUGACUUUAAAAUGAAACACUCAUUUCUUGUUAUUAGCACAAAUUCAUUGCCCUUUUCUCUGAGCUUUGGUCUUGUGGUUGGAAAAUGGGUUGGUCAUCAUAGCCUGAGCCGAACAACAAAUGAAAGCAAAUGAGAAAUAAACUCACUGCCAGGAGGCAACUUCCUGCAAGGCUAAAUUCUAGAGUGCAGAGUGAGAAAGGGGACAGACAGAGACAGGUGGGGGAAGGGGUGCUGAGCCAGGUUUAAAUUUAAAGGUAGUUAUUGGCUCCUGAACAAGAUCCCUGUUCUGAAAGGUGUGGCCCAUAAGAGGAUGCAGGAAGCCAGUCCUCAGCGCAUUCGCUGGGGUGGCAGCCUUACUACAGUGCACCAGGAACUUUGGAGACCUUUUUGUUGGACGUGGUCUGUAGGUGAUUUAAGACUUGCUAGAAAUGCCGCCAUUCAGGUCUGCUCCAUACUUGCUGGGUUAGAACCCCAUUUUAACAAGAUCUUCUGGAGGGUUUUAAGCAAUUUCAAGUUUAAGAAACAGUCUUGGAAAUGGUCCUUCCCCUUGUUCCUCCAAAGAACACAGGAAGAGACAGUCCUGAAAAGGUUAUGACCUCUGAGGUUUGAAGUUUGUGCUUUUACAUAUUAUUCAUGUUAUGCAUACAUUUUUUGAUUUGUUUAGCAAUAUUGUUUAAUUAUAAAAGUAACCUGACCAAAUGUAUAAUAGUUACAGUUUAAUAUUUUUUUUUGAUUAAAGAACUUUUAAAACUUGUGCAUGUAUGUAUUGAUUGAUUGAAUGGAUCUCACUAUGUAGUUGGUGGCUGGCUUGGUAGAACGCACUCUGUAGGCCAGGCUGGCCUCAAACUCACAGAAAUCUGCUCACCUCUGCCUGCUAAGUGUUGGGAUUAAAGACAAGCUUGAACACAUCUGGCCAAAUUAAAGGAUUAAAAAAAAUGGCUAGUUCUUAGCUUUGUAAGUCUUAGCAUCAUUUUGGCUGGGAUUUUUUUUUUUUUAACUUUUAAAUUCUGCAGUUAAAGAAAUUGGUGAGAUUUUUUAAAAUUCCACUUUACUUACCCACUUGGUAUUAGAGGAGAAUUAC
rnacentral:lncRNA from 1 species